rnacentral:rRNA from 1 species
AAUAGGACGCAUGAGCGGCAGCGCCUAACACAUGCAAGUCAGAGACGGUAGAGAGAAGCUUGCUUCUCUUGAGAGCGGCGGACGGGUGAGUAAUGCCUAGGAAUCUGCCUGGUAGUGGGGGAUAACGUUCGGAAACGGACGCUAAUACCGCAUACGUCCUACGGGAGAAAGCAGGGGACCUUCGGGCCUUGCGCUAUCAGAUGAGCCUAGGUCGGAUUAGCUAGUUGGUGGGGUAAUGGCUCACCAAGGCGACGAUCCGUAACUGGUCUGAGAGGAUGAUCAGUCACACUGGAACUGAGACACGGUCCAGACUCCUACGGGAGGCAGCAGUGGGGAAUAUUGGACAAUGGGCGAAAGCCUGAUCCAGCCAUGCCGCGUGUGUGAAGAAGGUCUUCGGAUUGUAAAGCACUUUAAGUUGGGAGGAAGGGCUGUAAAUUAAUACUUUGCUGUUUUGACGUUACCGACAGAAUAAGCACCGGCUAACUCUGUGCCAGCAGCCGCGGUAAUACAGAGGGUGCAAGCGUUAAUCGGAAUUACUGGGCGUAAAGCGCGCGUAGGUGGUUAGUUAAGUUGGAUGUGAAAUCCCCGGGCUCAACCUGGGAACUGCAUUCAAAACUGACUGACUAGAGUAUGGUAGAGGGUGGUGGAAUUUCCUGUGUAGCGGUGAAAUGCGUAGAUAUAGGAAGGAACACCAGUGGCGAAGGCGACCACCUGGACUGAUACUGACACUGAGGUGCGAAAGCGUGGGGAGCAAACAGGAUUAGAUACCCUGGUAGUCCACGCCGUAAACGAUGUCAACUAGCCGUUGGGAGCCUUGAGCUCUUAGUGGCGCAGCUAACGCAUUAAGUUUGACCGCCCUGGGGGAGUACGGCCGCAAGGUUAAAACUCAAUGAAUUUGACGGGCCGG